rnacentral:rRNA from 1 species
AGUGAACGCUGGCGGUAGGCCUAACACAUGCAAGUCGAACGGCAGCACAGUAAGAGCUUGCUCUUACGGGUGGCGAGUGGCGGACGGGUGAGGAAUACAUCGGAAUCUACUUUUUCGUGGGGGAUAACGUAGGGAAACUUACGCUAAUACCGCAUACGACCUACGGGUGAAAGCAGGGGAUCUUCGGACCUUGCGCGAUUGAAUGAGCCGAUGUCGGAUUAGCUAGUUGGCGGGGUAAAGGCCCACCAAGGCGACGAUCGGUAGCUGGUCUGAGAGGAUGAUCAGCCACACUGGAACUGAGACACGGUCCAGACCCCUACGGGAGGCAGCAGUGGGGAAUAUUGGACAAUGGGCGCAAGCCUGAUCCAGCCAUACCGCGUGGGUGAAGAAGGCCUUCGGGUUGUAAAGCCCUUUUGUUGGGAAAGAAAAGCAGCAGGUUAAUACCCCGCUGUUCUGACGGUACCCAAAGAAUAAGCACCGGCUAACUUCGUG